AGUGAACGCUGGCGGUAGGCCUAACACAUGCAAGUCGAACGGAAGCACAGUAAGAGUUUGCUCUUACGGGUUGCGAGUGGCGGACGGGUGAGGAAUACAGCGGAAUCUACUUUUUCGUGGGGGUUAACGUAGGGAAACUUACGCUAAUACAGCAUACGACCUACGGGUGAAAGCAGGGGAGCUUUGGACCUUGCGCGAUUGAAUGAGCUGAUGUGGGAUCAGUUAGUAGGGGGGGUAAGGGCCCACGAAGGCGACGAUCGGAAGCUGGUCUGAGAGGAUGAUUACAUACACUGGAAGUGAGACAGGGUCCAGACUCCUGCGCGAAGAAGCAGUGGGGACUAUUGGACAAUGGGGGAGAGCCUGAUCCAGCCAUACCGCGUGGGUGAUGAGGGCCUUCGGGUUGUAAAGCCCUUUUGUUGGGAGAGAAAAGCAGCAGGUUAAUCCCCCGCUGUUCUGACGGUACCCGAAGAAUAAGCACCGGCUAACUUCGUG
rnacentral:rRNA from 1 species